rnacentral:rRNA from 1 species
AACGAACGCUGGCGGCAUGCCUAACACAUGCAAGUCGAACGAGACCUUCGGGUCUCGUGGCGCACGGGUGCGUAACGCGGGGGAACCUGCCCUUAGGUUCGGAAUAACUCCCCGAAAGGGGUGCUAAUACCGGAUAAUGUCUUCGGACCAAAGAUUUAUCGCCUUUGGAUGGGCCCGCGUUGGAUUAGCUAGUUGGUAGGGUAAAAGCCUACCAAGGCGACGAUCCAUAGCUGGUCUGAGAGGAUGAUCAGCCACACUGGGACUGAGACACGGCCCAGACUCCUACGGGAGGCAGCAGUGGGGAAUAUUGGACAAUGGGCGAGAGCCUGAUCCAGCCAUGCCGCGUGAGUGAUGAAGGCCUUAGGGUUGUAAAGCUCGUUUACCCGGGAUGAUAAUGACAGUACCGGGAGAAUAAGCUCCGGCUAACUCCGUG